UUUUAGCGCUUUAAUUCUAAAAAAGGUGCCUUGAUUGAAGAAAAAUGAAAAUACUUUGUUGUUGCCUAAUGAGAUGAUAUCAACUUAGUUGCGUGCUGAUCAGUUGCUGGAUGAAUUAAAGCUCCUAUAGCUCCAUAAAUCAGUAUUGCAUCGUCAGUUGCAUCUAAUGCUAAAAUUGAAGCACAUAAUGUUGUGGAAAUAAAAGCUUUAACCUCAGGAGCAUCAGGAGAAGAGUUUAAACAUUAAUUGAAGAGAUAUAUUUUGCUUUUUGGGGAUCGAAAUGGCGGACGAAAAGCUCGAGAAGAACGUUCUUUGUAUAAAAAGUUAUUUGCAUAAACAACAAUUUGAACUUUUAA